ensembl:snoRNA
UGGAUCGAUGAUGACCACUGGUGGCGUAUGAGUCCUAUACGAUGAAUACAUGUCUGGAACUCUGAGGUCCAA